rnacentral:rRNA from 1 species
CCUACGGUUGGCUGCAGUGAGGAAUAUUGGUCAAUGGACGAGAGCCUGAACCAGCCAAGUAGCGUGAAGGAUGACUGCCCUAUGGGUUGUAAACUUCUUUUAUAUGGGAAUAAAAUGUUCCACGUGUGGCAUUUUGUAUGUACCAUAUGAAUAAGGAUCGGCUAACUCCGUGCCAGCAGCCGCGGUAAUACGGAGGAUCCGAGCGUUAUCCGGAUUUAUUGGGUUUAAAGGGAGCGUAGGUGGGUUGUUAAGUCAGUUGUGAAAGUUUGCGGCUCAACCGUAAAAUUGCAGUUGAAACUGGCAGUCUUGAGUACAGUAGAGGUAGGCGGAAUUCGUGGUGUAGCGGUGAAAUGCUUAGAUAUCACGAAGAACUCCGAUUGCGAAGGCAGUUCACUGGACUGCAACUGACACUGAGGCUCGAAAGUGUGGGUAUCAAACAGGAUUAGAUACCCGAGUAGUC